rnacentral:rRNA from 1 species
AUGUUCUCUGCUAGGUCUGGGAAAAAACCUGACCAGGAUAAAGCUAAACAGGCUAUUGCUAUUGUCUCUGUAAAAGGUGAAUCACUUACUGCCUUGCACCUAGUUAAUUCUUUCAGCAUGAUGUUCCAGUGGGGAUGGGAAUGGCAAGCAAAGCCAUAUCUUAAGGACAACUUUCUUGUGAAAUUUCCAUCGAUGCAAAAAAUUGAUGAAAUGAAGGGAUACCACUACUUUGGACUGAUCGGUACUAAAGCAACAAUCAAAGUUGACAGGUGGACUAAUUCAUCAAUUGCAUCUUACAAGCUGUAUGUCUGCUGGGUUAGAAUUGAUGGAGUGCCUGAACCACUUGAACACUAUCAAGACUUCUGUGAGGCUGGUUCUCUGAUAGGGAAUGUUCUAGAACUGGACAUGGAGUUGUAUAGACAAUGUGGGGUGGUGAGAGCAAAAAUUGGAGUUAUGGAUCCCAGGAAAAUUCCAGCUAGUGCUCCCCUGAAUGAAAGUGGCUUGGUAUAUAACAUUUUCUUUGAGCUAGAGGAUAUUGUGGAGGAGGGAGGCCCGUUGGAGGGGGGUGUUUUGGUCAGCUACCCCAGGCCUUCGGCUCCUACACAACAAACUACUGAUAAGAGACCUAGGGACAGAAACGACAAGGAUGAGCUGAUAUGCAGUAAAUCUCCAAGGCAAGACAGUGAUGCUGUUGGUAUCGGAGGAAAUGCGGUAGCUGAGAAUUCUGAUGAGGUUAUAUCCAGUCAAUACGAGUUAGAUAAGAAUUGGAUAGCUGAAAGGGAAGUGAGACAAAAACUGCUAGACAAGAAGCAUUUGACUGACAAGGCGGGGUCUGGUGUAGAGCAGAUUAAUGCAGACUUUGCUAAGGACGCUGAAAUGAUGGAGAACUUUACAGAAAGGGUUGGUAGCCAGCAAGAGGAAGAGUAUGACUGCACUCAGGAUCCUGAAGAUUUUGCCAGAAGGCUCGGGAUUAGCACUCAGAGAAUUAAAGAGAUUGAGGCUGAAGUGGAAGAGGAGCUGUCGGCUGAGGAAAAUUGCAACCUAAGGCAUGACAAGGAGAACCUAACCCCUGACAUGGUUAAAACAGCCGGUGCUAUUUCACCUCCUGGAAGAGUUGUUGCGACGAAGCAGAACUCCUUCUCUAACAGGGUACAAGGGGUGGUGUUGAAUCCUUUGCAAGAUCUUGGGGAGGCUGAUAUUACCAAGCAACAAAAGUUGAGGGAAGCUGAAGUUAGGGUUCAAAAGGCUAAAGAAAAGGCAGCUCUAGAUGAGGCGGCGAGGAGAAGAAGUGUCAGGAACAAACACAAAGAGGAGGUGCAGACUAUGGACAAAGCUACUGACAUGGCGAGGAGGAAGAAUCUGGAGACCCCAGAAAAGAGGGGUGGAAAAAACUCUUAA